GUUUGAUUAUGUAAUCAGAUUCAGACGCUGGCGUAGGAUUCUUUUACACAUGCAAGUCGAACGGCAGCACGGACUUCGGUCUGGUGGCGAGUGGCGAACAGGUGAGUAAUGUAUCGGAACGUGCCUAGUAGCGGGGGAUAACUACGCAGCGUAGCUAAUACACCUUCGCCCUUCGGGGAAAGCGGGGACCUUCGGGCCUCGCACUAUUAAGAGCGGCCGAUAUCGGAUUAGCUAGUUGGUGGGGUAACGGCUCGCAAGGCGACGAUCGUCCAGCUGGUUUGAGAGGACGACCAGCUUCACACUGGGACUGAGACUGACCCAGACUCCUACAGGAGGCAGCAGUGAAAUUUUGGACAAUGGGGAAACCUGAUCCAGCCAUCCGCGUGUGCGAUGAGGCGCUGGGUUGUAAAGCACUUUUGGCAGGAAAGAAACGGCACGGGAUAUUACCCCGUGCAACUGACGGUACCUGCAAGUAAACGCCGGCUAACUACGUGCCAGCAGCCGCGGUAAUACGUAGAGUGCAAGCGUUAAUCGGAAUUACUGGGCGUAAAGCGUGCGCAGGCGGUUCCGGAAAGAAAAGAUGCGAAAUCCCAGAGCUUAACUUUUGGAACUGCAUUUUUAACUACCGAGCUGGAAGUGUGUCAGAGGAGGUGGAAUUCCUUACGUGUAGCAGUGAAAUGCGUAGAUAGCACGUGGAGGAGGAACACCGAUGGCGAAGGCAGCCUCUGGGAUAACACCCCAGCCCGCUCAUGCACGAAAAGCGUGAGGCAAACAGGAUUGAAUGCCCUGGUAGUCCACGCCCUAAACGAUGUCAACUAUGGCUGUUGGGGCCUUCCGGGCCUUGGUAGCGCAGCCUAACGUGAAGUUGACCGCGCCUGGGAAAUACAGGUAUAAGAUUAAAACUCAAAGGAAUUGACGGGGACCCCGCACAAGCGGGGGAUGAUGUGGAUUAAUUCCGAUGCAACGCGAAAAACCUUACCUACCCUUGACGCUGUCUGAAUCCCCGAAGAGAUUUGGGGGUGCUCGCAAGAGGAACCGGAACACAGGUCUACACAUGGCUGUCGUCAGCUCGUGUCGUGAGAUGUUAUGAGUUAAGUCCCACCAACGAGCGCAACCCUUGUCAUUAGUUGCUGAAAGGGCACUCUAAUGAGACUUGCCGGUGACAAACCGGAGGAAGGUGGGGAUGACGUCAAGUCCUCAUGGCCCUUAUGGGUAGGGCUUCACACGUCAUACAAUGGUCUGGGACAGAGGGUCGCCAGCCCCGCGAGGGGAGCCAAUCCCAGAAACCCGAUCGUAGUCCGGAUCGCAGUCUGCAACUCGACUGCGUGAAGUCAAGAAUCGCUAUUAAUCGCGGAUCAGCAUGUAGCGGUGUGAAUACGUUCCCGGGUCUUGUACACACCGCCCGUCACACCAUGGGAGUGGGUUUUACCAGAAGUAGUUAGCCUAACCGUAAGGAGGGCGAUUACCACGGUAGGAUUCAUGACUGGGUGAAGUCGUAACAAGGUAA
rnacentral:rRNA from 1 species